rnacentral:rRNA from 1 species
AGAGUUUGAUCCUGGCUCAGAAUGAACGCUGGCGGCGUGCCUAACACAUGCAAGUCGAACGAGAAAGCUCCUUCGGGAGUGAGUAGAGUGGCGCACGGGUGAGUAACGCGUGGAUAAUCUACCUACGAGUUCGGGAUAACUUCGCGAAAGUGGAGCUAAUACCGGAUGGUCUGGCAUUUAUAUCUUAGAUGUCGGUAAAGAUAGCCUCUUCUUGAAAGCUAUUGCUUGUAGAUGAGUCCGCGUCUCAUUAGCUAGUUGGUAGGGUAACGGCCUACCAAGGCAACGAUGAGUAGCUGGUCUGAGAGGAUGAUCAGCCACACUGGAACUGGAACACGGUCCAGACUCCUACGGGAGGCAGCAGUGGGGAAUAUUGGGCAAUGGGCGCAAGCCUGACCCAGCAACGCCGUGUGAGGGAUGAAGGUCUUCGGAUUGUAAACCUCUGUCAGAAGGGAAGAAGUGCAUGAGGUCCAAUAGGCCUUAUGUUGACGGUACCUUCAGAGGAAG